rnacentral:tRNA from 1 species
UCUGGGGAUGUUAGCUCAGUGGUAGAGCACUUGCCUAGCAUGCUCAAGGUCCUGGGUUCAAUCUCCAGGACUGCAGAA